UUACGGUCAAAUCACGCUGAAAACACCGGUUCUCGUUCGAUCACCGAAGUUAAGCAUCGUAGAGCCAGGUCAGUAUUG